GCAGAAUAACCCCCUUCAUUGAUACCGAUCGCCCAACAUCACAAGACAUCCCCGUCUCUCAGCGUGGACUCCCCCUAUCUGGAUGGCCCUUCCUACCUUUGAAGGUCUCGGUUUUCACCACCCUAUCCGUCAAACACCGGUCCACCACCAGCAGAGAGAAGGAGUUCCAGAUAGAUCCAGUAUCCAUCUAUGCUGCCAAUGAAUCAGGAGACUCGAGGACUUUGGACUCCAUUCAACCGGACCAGUCCACGAGAUGCUGUGAAAGACAACAAAUCCAAAUUCAGUUGCAUUUUCCCCUGUCUUCAAGCACAGAGGCAGUGACACUGCAGCAUUUCAUGUACUUCUAGAGCAGAUUCCUAUGUUGGCACAUUUCUAACCAAAAUGACUUGCGAGGAGAGAGCUGCUUGAAACUUACUUGAAGUCAAGACUCAGUUUAUUGUAAGCUUCUUUAGACCAUAUCUGUUAUUUAUUUUCAGCCUUCUAGAUCCAAAAUGAAACACUUUCCGGCUAAUAUGUCUUGUUUGAUAUGUGGGGUUUUUUCACUUGCAUAUCUAAUACAACAGUUUAGAUUUUUGCUAUGACACAUAUACAGCCCUGAAUGAGGACAAGUACAUCCACAUCGUCCAAGGACACACUAUUGUGAAACUGUGGAAGCUAGAAGGCAAUGGAUAUAAAAUAAAUAUCAUAGCCAUAAGACUCAUCCCAAGUUGCAAGGGCAGCAGAAGCUGCACAUCCAAAAGCCCUCCCAGGCUGAAAGGCUGCAAACUCUGAGCUAAGUCAGAACUGCUCUUACCCUGCCCAUGCUCACAAAGCUUUCCAACUCCUAGCUUAAACACCUUCCUACAAGAUUACUGUUUUCCAUUUAAGACUCUUUCUUUCUCAAAAGGAAUUGUGGGUUUGGUUUGUGUUUUUUUUCUUGCAGACUACCAAAAAUAAGCAAUUCUAUAUACACCCCCUUUACUUUUUCAUGUCUGGGUAGGCAGCUACAUUUUUUAAGUAGCACCAGAGAUUAUCCAGAUUGCAACUGCAGAAGUAAAACAAGUAAAACAUACUUAUAAAGUGAACUGAAAAGCUGAAAGCAAAUGGCAAAAAUGGGUGCUGAAUGCUCUCAUGCAUCAGCCUGAUGGAAAAUUCAACAAAAGAAAUGAGACUUGUGUCACUGGUAAUGUUAAACUGGAUUUAACAAAAAGAGAAGAACAACGUGUGCUUGGUGUCUUUUUCCAUAACAAGAAGGUUUCAGAGGGGAAGAAAUGCAAUACUUGAGCUGAAUCCUUUAAAGCCAAUUAUCUGCCAUUUAUAGCUGUAUUUUAAGCCACAACAUCAUAAAACUGUAGCUUUUCAUGUCAUGUUUCAGCAACUGCUGUUUAUAAUGUCAUGCAAGACCAAUAACAUAUUUGAUUGUAC
rnacentral:lncRNA from 1 species